UACAGAGGGUGCGAGCGUUAAUCGGAAUUACUGGGCGUAAAGCGCACGUAGGUGGCGACGUAAGUCGGGUGUGAAAGGCCCGGGCUCAACCUGGGAAUUGCAUUCGAGACUGCAUUGCUGGAGUACGGAAGAGGAGGGCGGAAUUCCCGGUGUAGCGGUGAAAUGCGUAGAUAUCGGGAGGAACAUCAGUGGCGAAGGCGGCCCUCUGGUCCAGUACUGACAAUCAAGUGCGAAAGCGUGGGGAGCAAACAUG
rnacentral:rRNA from 1 species